ensembl:lncRNA
CUUUAUGUAGUGUUGUCUUAGGUCUCUCUUUAUGUAGUGUUGUGUUGUCUUAGGUCUCUCUUUAUGUAGUGUUGUGGUGUCUCUCUUUAUGUAGUGUUGUGUUGUCUUAGGUCUCUCUUUAUGUAGUGUUGUGUUGUCUUAGGUCUCUCUUUAUGUAGUGUUGUCUUAGGUCUCUCUUUAUGUAGUGUUGUCUUAGGUCUCUCUUUAUGUAGUGUUGUCUUAGGUCUCUCUUUAUGUAGUGUUGUGGUGUCUCUCUUUAUGUAGUGUUGUGCUGUCUUAGGUCUCUCUUUAUAUAGUGUUGUCUUAGGUCUCUCUUUAUGUAGUGUUGUGGUGUCUCUCUUUAUGUAGUGUUGUCUUAGGUCUCUCUUUAUGUAGUGUUGUGG